rnacentral:rRNA from 1 species
UACGUAGGAUGCAAGCGUUGUCCGGAAUUAUUGGGCGUAAAGAGCGCGCAGGCGGUCUGACAAGUCAGAUGUGAAAGAGGCCGGCUUAACCGGCAAGGGUCAUUUGAAACUGUCAGACUAGAGUGCAGCAGAGGAUAGUGGAAUUCCCGGUGUAGUGGUGAAAUGCGCAGAUAUCAGGAGGAACACCGAUGGCGAAGGCAGGUCUCUGGGCCACUACUGACGCUGAGAAGCGAAAGCAUGGGGAGCGAACAGG